rnacentral:rRNA from 1 species
CAGUCGCCGCGGGAAUACGGAGGGGGCUAGCGUUGUUCGGAAUUACUGGGCGUAAAGCGCACGUAGGCGGCUUGGUAAGUUAGAGGUGAAAGCCCGGAGCUCAACUCCGGAAUUGCCUUUAAGACUGCCGAGCUAGUAGGUGAGAGAGGUAAGUGAAAUUCCGAGUGUAGAGGUGAAAUUCGUAGAUAUUCGGAAGAACACCAGUGACGAAGGCGGCUUACUGGCUCAUUCUAGACGCUGAGGUGCGAAAGCGUGGGGAGCAAACAGGAUUAGAUACCCCGGUAGUCCCUGUCUCUUAUAC